UAUACCUAUUCGAAGGAAUAGGGUCGGUUUGGCCGGAUUUCACACAGGUGUUGCAUGGCUGUCGUCAGCUCGUGUCGUGAGAUGUUGGGUUAAGUCCCGCAACGAGCGCAACCCUCAUCCUUAGUUACCAUCGGGUCAUGCCGGGGACUUUAAGGAAACUGCCAGUGAUAAACUGGAGGAAGGCGGGGAUGAUGUCAAGUCAUCAUGGCCCUUAUGGAGUGGGCUACACACGUGCUACAAUGGUGAUUACAGUGGGCUGCAAGGUCGCAAGGCUAAGCCAAUCCUUAAAAAUCAUCUCAGUUCGGAUUGUUCUCUGCAACUCGAGAGCAUGAAGUUGGAAUCGCUAGUAAUCGUGGAUCAGCAUGCCACGGUGAAUACGUUCUCGGGUCUUGUACACACUGCCCGU
rnacentral:rRNA from 1 species